UUUCUUUGUUGGCAUACUCAAUAAAUCUAUAGCAUAAUAACCAUAACAGAAUCAAUGAAACACCACACCAACUUGGCGUUCAACCAGUGCGCAAAAGACAAGACUGUGCAAAUAAAAAAGAAAAAAUAAUAAUAAGUAAUUAAGCAAUAAAUAUCCAGAACGUAUGAAAUAUCCAGACCUUGAAAGUGAGUCUAUUGGAUGUGGGAAUAUUUCAAUGAUGGAGCAAAUGAAGUUGAUUGAUGUUAUCCCCUUCGGUUCAAGAGCCUGAUGGUUGAGGGGUAGUAACUGUUCCUGAACCUGGCAGUGUGAGUCCUGAGGCUGAAGAGUGUUGCGUUCAAUUCUGGUCUCCGUAUUUGAGGAAAAAUAUACUGGCUUUGGAGAUAGUGCAGAGGAUGUUCACCAGGUUCAUCCUAGAGGUGAGGGUAUUAGGAUGAGGAGAGAAUGAGUUGCUAGAAUUCAGAAGAAUGAGAGGGGAUUUUAUAGAAACAUAUAAAAUUAUGAAAGUGAUAAUUAAGACAGAGGUAAGAAAUUUUUUCAACUAGUAACUAGAAGACAUAGGCUCGCGAUUCGGAGGAAUAAAUUUAGGACAGAGAUGAGGAGAAACUGCUUUUCCCACAGAGUAGUGAAUCUGAGAGUCUUUGCCCAGGGAAAAGCUGCACAGGUCACCUCAUGAAAUAUAUUUUUAAGAUGCAGAUUUUUGCAUAACAGGGGAACUAAAGAUUAUGGGGAAAGGGCAAGUAAGUGGAGCUGAGUACACAGCCAGGUCAGCUGUGAUCUUAUUUUAUUUAAUGACAGAGCAGGCUCAAUGGGCCAGAUGGUCUACUCCUGAUCCUAGUUCUUGGGUCUUUAUGAAAGGAUGGCAUUACACUUGUACAUAGUUCAGGCCACCUGAAAUCCAUGCAAGCUUGUGAGACGGACCAAGAGGAAAGACUAGUUAGGAAGAAAAGUUGUGUCAACUUAACUGCAUGUGUUCACUGUUUUCAAAACUUACUGAACCCAAACUGACCAUUUGGCCAUGGGGAAGGAUCUCAAACUGAAAUGUUGACUGUCCACCUCCCCUCCCUCCUCGGAUACUGCUGACCUGCUUUCUUUCAGCAGCUUGUAUUUUUGCAGGUCAGCAAGAGAUUGUGAGAAGUUUCUGCCGCAGUUUGCUCCGUGCUUACUUUGUGUCUUGGUCUCUGGCAGAAACCAGAGGUGAAGUGCUCCACUCUGGGACUGUGCAAGUCUCUGUCACAGUUUCCCCAGCAGGAAGUGCGCUCCAACACCAUCCCUGAGCAGCAACCAAGCCUGGCCCACCUGCUUCCGUCUCGUCUGUAUCCUGCAAGCCGGAUACCUCAGCAGCAAACCACACAAAAUGCUGGAGGAACUCAGCAAGACAGACAGCAUCUAGGGAGACAAACAAACGGUUGAUAUUUUGGGCCAAGACUCUGUACAAUGUCCUGAGUAUGUAACUCAAAAUGGCUUCUUUGGUUUGUAACGAGUAGGAAUGCUUCUUUGUCUGAUAAGUGUUUCUCUCGCCGUUGUUCUGCUUUAAAAUGGCUGAUAUGGUAACUGUAUUCAUUUGUUAAUCAAUGGGGAAUGUUAUUGUGUCUUGUGAGGCUGGGAACUUAGGGGAGGGGUUUUCACGGGUUUUUGGUAUGAGGGGAGUCGGGAGAAAGUCGCCGAGGGAGGUGGACGUGCGCUCAGAAGAUCACCGGGGAGUCUGGGGUGGAAGACGUGGAAGUUGGAGGCAAGCGACGAGGGGUCGAAUGGUUCGAUGGUUGAGCUCCGAGUGAACUAAACAGACUGAACUUUGAUAAGUUGGCACCUUUUGUUUUUUUCCUUAAAUAUAUAUAUUGUAUUGCCUAAUACUCUUUUAAUUUUAGUAAACUCUUUAAAGUGUA